UACGUUGAGGCGCAGCAGUUGACUGGACAUCUAGGGGUAAAGCACUGUUUCGGUGCGGUUUGCGCGAUCGGUACCAAAUCGAGGCAAACUUUGAAUACUAGAUAUGACCCAAAAAUAACAGGGGUCAAGGUCGGCCAGUGAGACGAUGGGGGAUAAGCUUCAUCGUCGAGAAGGAAACAACCC
rfam:Triticum aestivum genome assembly, contig: Triticum_aestivum_CS42_TGACv1_scaffold_194515_3AL